rnacentral:misc_RNA from 1 species
GAACGCAUAUUGCACUCUCUGGUAUUCCGGAGAGUAUGCCUGUUUGAGGGUCUGUUAAAUAAAAAUCGGGGUUGUUGCUGCUUUUUGUGGUGACGCUUCGGAAUUGGGUAGUCUUACCUUCGGGUUUAAGUGACCUAAAAUUUUUACAUGAUUUUUCGAACGUAUUUAAAUCUUUUACGUACGUUUGGUUAUAUCGAAUAUAUUAGGUGUGGUCAUCCUCAUGAUUCACGUCUAUAAUUUUUUUCAUUUUUAGACCUCAAAUCAGGUAAGAACACCCGCUGAACUUAAG